UUAUUGGGCGUAAGAGCUCGUAGGCGGUUUGUCGCGUCUGCUGUGAAAGCCCGGGGCUCAACCCCGGGUCUGCAGUGGGUACGGGCAGACUAGAGUGCAGUAGGGGAGACUGGAAUUCCUGGUGUAGCGGUGAAAUGCGCAGAUAUCAGGAGGAACACCGAUGGCGAAGGCAGGUCUCUGGGCUGUAACUGACGCUGAGGAGCGAAAGCAUGGGGAGCGAACAGGAUUAGAUACCCUGGUAGUCCAUGCCGUAAACGUUGGGCACUAGGUGUGGGGGACAUUCCACGUUUUCCGCGCCGUAGCUAACGCAUUAAGUGCCCCGCCUGGGGAGUACGGCCGCAAGGCUAAAACUCAAAGGAAUUGACGGGGGCCCGCACAAGCGGCGGAGCAUGCGGAUUAAUUCGAUGCAACGCGAAGAACCUUACCAAGGCUUGACAUGAACCGGUAAGACCUGGAAACAGGUCCCCCACUUGUGGCCGGUUUACAGGUGGUGCAUGGUUGUCGUCAGCUCGUGUCGUGAGAUGUUGGGUUAAGUCCCGCAACGAGCGCAACCCUCGUUCUAUGUUGCCAGCGGGUUAUGCCGGGGACUCAUAGGAGACUGCCGGGGUCAACUCGGAGGAAGGUGGGGACGACGUCAAAUCAUCAUGCCCCUUAUGUCUUGGGCUUCACGCAUGCUACAAUGGCCGGUACAAAGGGUUGCGAUACUGUGAGGUGGAGCUAAUCCCAAAAAGCCGGUCUCAGUUCGGAUUGAGGUCUGCAACUCGACCUCAUGAAGUUGGAGUCGCUAGUAAUCGCAGAUCAGCAACGCUGCGGUGAAUACGUUCCCGGGCCUUGUACACACCGCCCGUCAAGUCACGAAAGUUGGUAACACCCGAAGCCGGUGGCCUAACCCCUUGUGGGAGGGAGCCGUCGAAGUGGGACCGGCGAUUGGGACGAAGUCG
rnacentral:rRNA from 1 species